CAGCCGCCGCGGUAAUACGUAGGUGGCGAGCGUUGUCCGGAAUUACUGGGUGUAAAGGGAGCGUAGGCGGGAGCGCAAGUUUACUGUUUAAUCUAUCGGCUCAACCGGUAUCAGCGGUAAAAACUGCGUUUCUUGAGUGAAGUAGAGGUAGGCGGAAUUCCUAGUGUAGCGGUGAAAUGCGUAGAGAUUAGGAGGAACACCAGUGGCGAAGGCGGCCUACUGGGCUUUAACUGACGCUGAGGCUCGAAAGCGUGGGGAGCAAACAGGAUUAGAUACCCUGGUAGUCCACGCCGUAAACGAUGAUUACUAGGUGUGGGGGGACUGACCCCUUCCGUGCCGGAGCUAACGCAAUAAGUAAUCCACCUGGGGAGUACGGUCGCAAGACUGAAACUCAAAGGAAUUGACGGGGGCCCGCACAAGCAGUGGAUUAUGUGGUUUAAUUCGAAGCAACGCGAAGAACCUUACCAGGUCUUGACAUCGUGCGCAUAGCCUAGAGAUAGGUGAAGCCCUUCGGGGCGCAUAGACAGGUGGUGCAUGGCC
rnacentral:rRNA from 1 species